GUGCUUAGACAACACAUAUACUAAAACUGGACCAAUACAGAGAAGAUUAGCACAGCCCCUGCGCAAGGAUGACACACAAGUUUGUUAAGCGUCCAUAUAUUUU